rnacentral:rRNA from 1 species
UACGUAGGCAGCAAGCGUUGUUCGGAGUUACUGGGCGUAAAGGGUGUGUAGGCGGUUGGAUAAGUGUGGUGUGAAAUCUCCCGGCUUAACUGGGAGGGUGCGCUACAAACUGUCUGACUAGAGUGUGGGAUGGGAGAGUGGAAUUCCUGGUGUAGCGGUGAAAUGCGUAGAUAUCAGGAGGAACACCGGUGGUGUAGACGGCUCGUCUGGACCAUAACUGACGCUGAGACACGAAAGCGUGGGGAGCAAACAGG